GACUCCUUUUUUCCUAUUUUUUUUCUCUAUGAUUUUUUAUCAGGUGCAGUCUUUCCCUUCAUUGGGUUUGGCAGGAGGCAUGGGGCUGUUAUGUUCACCUUUAUCUACUUCAAUGGAAGAAUAUAUUUUCAACAGACUUUUUCUACAAGAAAUCCUAAUGAAAGUUCUCUAAAAAUGUAAGUUUUUAAAAUUUCAACAUGUUUGUAUAGUUUCCACAGUUU
rnacentral:lncRNA from 1 species